GGAAUAUUGCACAAUGGGCGAAAGCCUGAUGCAGCGACGCCGCGUGAGUGAAGAAGUAUUUCGGUAUGUAAAGCUCUAUCAGCAAGGAAGAUAAUGACGGUACUUGACUAAGAAGCCCCGGCUAACUACGUGCCAGCAGCCGCGGUAAUACGUAGGGGGCAAGCGUUAUCCGGAUUUACUGGGUGUAAAGGGAGUGUAGGUGGCAUGGCAAGUCAGAAGUGAAAGCCCAGGGCUCAACCCUGGGACUGCUUUUGAAACUGCCGCGCUAGAGUGCAGGAGAGGUAAGUGGAAUUCCUAGUGUAGCGGUGAAAUGCGUAGAUAUUAGGAGGAACACCAGUGGCGAAGGCGGCUUACUGGACUGUAACUGACACUGAGGCUCGAAAGCGUGGGGAGCAAACA
rnacentral:rRNA from 1 species